UGUGAAUGGUUCCAACUGCAAGGAAUUGGGAGGGCUAAGAAAUGUUGAUGGUUUCAUAGUUGGUAGAGCCUCUCUCAAGGUAAUUUGUAUAUGAAACCCGAAUUCACUGUUUCAUCAAGGCUGCUAAAGUGAAGACCAGUAUAUGAGUUUUAAAUCACCAGUCUUGCAAAAAUGCCAGAAAAGAAAAGAAAAGAACAACAUAAAUCUACACAUUAUAAGAAAUCUACAUAUCAGUGAACUUGGUGCUGUUAUUUGGUUUCAUUUAAAUUCAUGUUAAGGAGGGUUGGGCUCUUGUGUAUGACAAAUCUGGAUAAACCGAGGUUCUAG
rnacentral:lncRNA from 1 species